GCAAGUCGAGGGGCAGCAUCAUCGCUUGCGAUGGAUGGCGACCGGCGCACGGGUGCGUAACGCGUAUGCAACCUACCCUUUACAGGGGGAUAGCCCGGAGAAAUUCGGAUUAAUACCCCAUAGUACUGUAAUGUAGCAUUAUAUAACAGUUAAAGAUUUAUUGGUAAAGGAUGGGCAUGCGUCUGAUUAGUUAGUUGGUGAGGUAACGGCUCACCAAGGCGAUGGUCAGUAGGGGUUCUGAGAGGAUGAUCCCCCACACUGGCACUGAGAUACGGGCCAGACUCCUACGGGAGGCAGCAGUAGGGAAUAUUGGUCAAUGGGCGAGAGCCUGAACCAGCCAUGCCGCGUGCAGGAAGACGGCCUUCUGGGUUGUAAACUGCUUUUAUCAGGGAACAAAAAGGCUCUGCGGAGCAAAUUGCGUGUACCUGAAGAAUAAGCACCGGCUAACUCCGUGCCAGCAGCCGCGGUAAUACGGAGGGUGCAAGC
rnacentral:rRNA from 1 species